rnacentral:rRNA from 1 species
AACGAACGCUGGCGGCAUGCCUAACACAUACAAGUCGAACGAGACCUUCGGGUCUAGUGGCGCACGGGUGCGUAACGCGUGGGAACCUGCCCUUAGGUUCGGAAUAACUCCCCGAAAGGGGUGCUAAUACCGGAUAAUGUCUUCGGACCAAAGAUUUAUCGCCUUUGGAUGGGCCCGCGUUGGAUUAGCUAGUUGGUAGGGUAAAAGCCUACCAAGGCGACGAUCCAUAGCUGGUCUGAGAGGAUGAUCAGCCACACUGGGACUGAGACACGGCCCAGACUCCUACGGGAGGCAGCAGUGGGGAAUAUUGGACAAUGGGCGAAAGCCUGAUCCAGCAAUGCCGCGUGAGUGAUGAAGGCCUUAGGGUUGUAAAGCUCUUUUACCCGGGAUGAUAAUGACAGUACCGGGAGAAUAAGCUCCGGCUAACUCCGU